GAUGAAGAACGUAGCGAAAUGCGAUAACUAAUGUGAAUUGCAGAAUUCAGUGAAUCGUCGAGUCUUUGAACGCACAUUGCGCCCCCUGGUAUUCCGGGGGGCAUGCCUGUCCGAGCGUCAUUGCUGCCCUCAAGCACGGCUUGUGUGUUGGGCUCCGUCCCCCCGGGGACGGGCCCGAAAGGCAGCGGCGGCACCGAGUCCGGUCCUCGAGCGUAUGGGGCUUUGUCACCCGCUCUGUAGGCCCGGCCGGCGCCAGCCGACAACCCAUCAUCCUUUUCAGGUUGACCUCGGAUCAGGUAGGGAUACCCGCUGAACUUAAGCAUAUCAAUAAGCGGAGGA
rnacentral:misc_RNA from 1 species